GUAGAAUACAGAGAAAAGAAUACGGCGUUCGUCGCCGGCGGGGCAUCCGUUGCCCGGCAGGCGUUUGUCGCCCGAUUCAGAUGCACUUGCAGAGUAAUGACAUUACGUGGAGAAAUUAAUCAACCGGAUGUUACAGCACUCAACCAAAAUUUGCUCCAUCAAGCGCGACGAGGGCGAGCAUCCAGAGUACAUCAUAUGCGGAACACCUGGCGGGAUCCAGUACUUUGGAGAGCUUGAAGAGCAUAGUUACUGCUGCAAUGAGCAUCAUGUCUACACAUUUGUCAGUUCCUGAACGAUGCCCAGCAGCAGGAACUCAUGGGCCCAAAUAACGUGGACCGAAGCUGCACGAGGGACUAGGCCUUCUCGUUUUCCUUCCUUUUCUCUUUUUCUAGCGAUCGGGGGACUCCACACACAUAAAACCAGCCAACGACAGCGUAUGCGUACAAAUCUUUUAGCGCAAAAUCAAGGUAGGGCGGGCGCCCUGCCUCGCCCUACCGGGAGCCCCGCCUGUGCCCUCAGGCAUGAUCAGUGGCGAAUCUUGGAAGAAAAUCGAGGGCGGGCUCAAAGUUCACAGUGCGAAAAAAAAGCCACCGACUCCCAAUUCUUUUGUCCAAAGAAGGUUAAUAUUUACUGUAAUCUUUUGGAUUUUUUUUGAAAAUAUCAAAUGUUUGACCUUUCUCGCAAAAUAGCCAUCAUUUCGAACUAAUAUAGUAACUUGUUUUACCAUGCCAAAUCUAGCCGCUUGUGAUGGAUUCUUGAAAAGAAAACAAGGGAAACAAAAAGCAGCCUCCUUUUUCACAUUGCCUUUUUUGAAUCUUGUCGUUAUUUAUGUGGUCUUGGAAUUUGCAGACCAUGGCUCGGAAGGGCAUGACAAGACUGUUCACAGAGGAAAGUUUGGAGAGGCCAACCGACUCGGUACUGACGUCGGCCUCCAAUGGACAAUCAUCUCCACCCGUACCUCAAGGGCGAGUAAAGAGACCGCGUGCACUUGCUAAGGAACCUUUGCAAGCUGGAAGGUCAAAUCAGUCAACAUAUGCGUCCUCUGGACUCUCUCAGGCAAAUGAGAGCAUUGCAGAUGAGGGGAUUGCAGAUUUAGGCAUUCCAAAAGGGGGCAUUCCUGAAGAGGAUGUUCCAGAAAUGGGUGAUCAUAGGAAGAAGAAACCGGGUGAUCAUAGGAAGAAGAGUCCGAACAACAUCACACGAUGCAGGCCCAUGGAAAUUAAGGGUCUCCAAAAUUCACUCGAACCGCGUCACGUUGCUAUGAUCGAGGAAAGAGAAUGGGAUGCCCCUCUAAAAUUACAAGUGAUGGAAGCACUAAGAACUCAGACUGUCAAGGAUAUGGCUAUGCUUAUUGAUGAAAAAGGGAGACUUGAUCUGAAAGGCACAUAUAUUGAUCUGUAUGAGCUGGCACCAUAUGUGAUGGGCGAUCCCAAUGAAGGUGAUUUUGUGGGACCUGCAGUUGGGAUUCCUAUAGGUUUUGAGGAAUUGAAAGCGAUGAUCAAACGGCCCCCAUCUGAUCCUCACUCAAAACGGUGGGUCCUGACCACGAAUGAAUUAAAGGAGUUGUUGAUAGAUUUGUCCCAGAAGAAUAAUCCGGCUGACGAUGAAAAAGUUAUGUGUCUUUACAGGCUUUAUGUGUGGGCUUUGAUCAAUGCACCAAGUUGUGCCAGUACUGCUAAUAUGAA